UACUACAUAACCCCUCUCUGGUUUCCCUUCACCAACUUGUAGUACCAAAGCAGACAAUUCUUAUGUAUUUUACUCCAUACGCUAGCUGAAGAAGCUACUACGACGAUCGAACGGACAACAAGGUUAGCACGGCAACAAGAACAGGGACACCAGGUAAAUCCUUUCGGCCAAGCCCGGCAGCCGGGGAUCAAUCACAGCACCUUGAUGGCAUCGACCGCGCAGUGGCGAGGAGGCCCGAUGCUGAGCUCCAGGAUGCUGCUGGGAGAGGAAGACAUUG
rnacentral:lncRNA from 1 species